rnacentral:rRNA from 1 species
UACGUAGGGUGCGAGCGUUGUCCGGAAUUAUUGGGCGUAAAGGGCUCGUAGGCGGUUUGUCGCGUCGGGAGUGAAAACCUUGGGCUUAACUCAGGGCUUGCUUUCGAUACGGGCAGACUAGAGGUAUGCAGGGGAGAACGGAAUUCCUGGUGUAGCGGUGAAAUGCGCAGAUAUCAGGAGGAACACCAGUGGCGAAGGCGACUACCUGGCCUGUUCUUGACGCUGAGGCGCGAAAGCUAGGGGAGCAAACGGG